UACAGAGGUGGCAAGCGUUGUUCGGAAUUACUGGGCGUAAAGGGCGCGUAGGCGGUUCGUUAAGUCCUGUGUGAAAUCCCCCGGCUCAACUGGGGAACUGCACAGGAACUAGCGGGCUUGAGUUCGGGAGAGGGAAGCGGAAUUCCGGGUGUAGCGGUGGAAAUGCGUAGAUAUCCGGAGGAACACCGGUGGCGAAGGCGGCUCCUGGACCGACACUGACGCUGAGGCGCGAAGCUAGGGGAGCAAACGGG
rnacentral:rRNA from 1 species